UUAUUACUAGGUUGCACCAACUUUAUUGUGGCACUUGACCAUUUGUAUGAAUAAAAAUGAUUAGAACACCUCAGAAGCAUUCCAGAAGAAAGUCAGACCAAGGUUGACUUGACCCUGCUAGGGAAUGAAUGAUUGUUGAGGUGCCACUGCAGGCAUGGUUCCCAGAUCCACAGUAUGCCCCAUCUCAUGUACCAGUCUACUGUGGAAGCAGCAACUUGGCCACACAUUUUUGAAGAAACUAAGUGUGUUUACCUCCUAACAUGUAAUUUUGCCCUUAGCCAUGCUAUAGUGCCUCCUAAUCUUUUAUUGUUGGCAUCUGUCUGUCUUGAAUGACAAUGGUAUUCACUUCUGGGGAUGAAGUCAAACUGCAGGAGAGUCUUUUUGGCCUGGCAGGCCAGACUCUUAUCCUUCUUCCAACCCCCAGUGGCCAAUUUUGACAGGCGGGACAACCCACCAGUCAAUCAUCUGACAAAACGAUGGUGCCAGAUGCUUGACACAUGUCAAAGUCCCCUGUGCAGUGCUUCCCAAAUGUUUGACAGCCAGCUGGAAGCACCAUGCAAAUGCUUUGGAAAGCCUUAGGAAAUGCUGAGCACAGGGCUGGUAAAAGUGCUUUGUGCAGUGGUUUUCCAGUGCCCACAAGCACCCAGCUGUUGGGCAUUUGAGAAGCACUUUGUGCAGCAAUUGCCUGGCAGCCAGCUGUUUGCCAGGUGCUUGGGAAGCAAUGCGCAGCAAGACUCUUCAAAAUCCCCUUUACGCAAAUCCCACCUUUACCUGUCCCAUACCUUAUGUCAGGUGUAGGGCAGGAUGCAUGGCCUGCCUCAAAUGACUUCACAGGCCAAAUGGUUGGGUUUGGUGGACUGAAGGUUUUCCGUUUCUAAUUUAAUGCAAGCUCUAAAGUCUUCACACUAUUCAUCUUUUGAGAGGAGAUGGCAAUGCAAUGCUAUUUUUAACUUUUCCAAAAAGAUGAGGGAAGAGAACUUAACACAUUUCAUUUAUUUCAUAAAAUUUAUAUACCUCUUAAUUGUAGGGAAAAAACCCCUCAAAGCAGUUUUUGCUUGAAGCCUUUGGGGAAAAUAAAGAAGAAUUUAUUCAUCCUUUGAAGUAUAUAAAGACAAGGCAACCCAGGAAACUACAGGGCUAAACUGACACCACUGAAAAGAAUCACUUUUGCAGUUGUGUGUGUGCAUUUGUGUGCGUGUAAAGCUUCCCUGCCUUGUUGCCUAUAGGAAAGACUUCUUCACUACAGAUAGGCAGGUGAGUAACUGCUGUCUCGCUGCCAAGAAGAAUUGACCACAACUGCCUCUCCCUGCCAGCUACUGCAACUGAUUGCACUGAAUCCUCAGCUGGGACUAGGAAUGCACUGAACUGAGCCCAACCGGAAUAGCUGUUUUCAGUGUAUGAUGACAGAUCUGAUUGAAA